rnacentral:rRNA from 1 species
GCGGAGAAAUUCCAAUCGAACCUGGAGAUAGCUGGUUCUCUCCGAAAUAGCUUUAGGGCUAGCCUCAAGUGAUGAUUAUUGGAGGUAGAGCACUGUUUGGACGAGGGGCCCUUCUCGGGUUACCGAAUUCAGACAAACUCCGAAUGCCAAUCAAUUUAACUUGGGAGUCAGAACGCGGGUGAUAAGGUCCGUGUUCGAAAGGGAAACAGCCCAGACCACCAGCUAAGGUCCCAAAAUAUAUGUUAAGUGGAAAAGGAUGUGGCGUUGCCCAGACAACUAGUAUGUUGGCUUAGAAGCAGCCAUCAUUUAAAGAGUGCGUAAUAGCUCACUAGUCGAGUGACACUGCGCCGAAAAUGUACCGGGGCUAAACAUAUUACCGA